rnacentral:tRNA from 1 species
AUAUCUUAGUAUUUGAUGUACUUAGGUUUUUGAAGCUUAAAGGGAUAGUUAGAUUCUAUCAGGUAUAAU